GAAGAUUCUGAGGAGUCAUCUGAGGAAGAUGAGUUUUUAGAUGAUGUGCUUGAAUCAGAUAAUGAUUUUGAAUUCCUUGAUGACCCCAAAGACACAAAUUACAUCCCUUCUUCAGAAAGUGGGUCUGAUACUGACACGUCAAGGAAGCCACGAAGAAGCUCUCAAAAAAGUCUGGAUAAAUCAUUAAAGAACAGUAAUCCUAGGAGACUGAUCAAGAGAAGAGACCUGAAAGAGAGACCAAAGAAGAGGAAGAAACUUGACAAGGAGUAUGUCCGAUGUCCCUUUCCAGACUGUGAUAAAAUUAUAUCCAAUCCUCAGUAUUUAAAGCGCCACAUUAAGUAUCAGCAUGAAGCGACUAAGUCGUAUACUUGCUCUGUAUUUGGAUGUGGCAGAAGUUUUCGGUUCAAAACGCAGGUUGAAGAACAUGAGCGUUUGCACAGUGAUGUGAAAUCUGUGGCUUCACCUGUAGGCAGAAAGCCUCUCUGAACUGGCACAUGAAGAAGCAUAACGCUGAGUCUACUUAUCUCUUCUCCUGUGAUGUGUGUGGCAAGCGCUUUGAGAAGCGGGACAGUGUUUCAGCUCACAAGAGCAAGAGCCACCUUGAAACCGUUCCUCCCACCCUUGUACCUGUGCAAAAAGCAGAGGGGGGGGUGCAUUAUGAUGAGCUUACUGAGGGUGAAAAGGAGGAGACUGCAGUUGAAGUUAGAGACCUCAGCAUCACACUGUGGAGAUUAGAACAUGGACAUUGCAGAACUGCCCCUGCUCAUUCAAGUCUGUUUUUGUAAGCAGUUUAAUGGAUGAAGGAAACACCAGUCCAUUUAAGGAAAAGUAUACUUGCGUACUUUCUGCACACUUCCAGGAGAUGGAAGAGAAUAAUGAUGGUAACUUUGCGAUGACUCACCCAUGUAUUUUGUUCCUUCCACUGGUGUUCUGCAUUUAGAAUCUCUUGUUUUCACCAGCUCCAUCAGUCUUGAAAUGGGCUUUUCACAUGAAAAAAAAAAACUUUCACUUCAAAUUGAAGCAAAUUAUUAUCACACUGCAGUGUAUAUUUAUUUCAUUAAGAAAGUAAUCCUUAUGUAGAUAAGUUGCUUAAAAUAAGCAUCUUUAUUUUAUUUUUUAUUUUUAUUUUUCUUUAUGGUUUCCUAACUGCCCCGGAAAAUUGUCAUAUUGCACAGUGGAUAUAGUAGGCAAUGGUUAUAGCUCUGACUGAAGGAUUGGUCGGUAGAAAUCACAGCUUUGUUAUACAAAGGAACUCUGCUGUUUGUAUUAUUUAUUCCUGAAUGAGCCAGUUAUUGUGCUGUAUUGAUUUUUUCAGACUGAACACUUUUAACUGUAAAUUGUAGUAUUUCUAAGAUACAACACUCAGAAGUCAGUUUAUCUGUAGUACUUGCACCUCUGAAGUUAUUUAGAAUAUUGUUAGGCUGAAGCAAAUUAUAGUAGACACAUACUAUUUGCUGGGGUAUUACCAGCAGUGUACAUGAAUAGCAUGUUUGGUGGUGCCUUAGUAUUGUUUCCAGUCACUUUUGGUUUUGAGAUAUUUAUUAGCUUUAAGUUUCAGUCACUACUCCAUGAAAUGGCAUUGUCCUUUUCUUCAAAUUGAAGGUUUCCAGUCACUGCCGAAGGCGUCAUGUGAGUUAACUUCUUAAUAUAACCUCUCAAGACUGUAGUUAGCACUCCAGCAAUGUUCCUUUUAAAAAUAACCAAUAUGUUAAGCUUGAAACAAAGCUAAUGACCAAAAUGGACUAAACUUUACUGAAGAAGGAGACUCUAGUUAAAUUUUUAUUGUUACAGAAGUAGCCAGUGCUUGCAGUGACACAUGGCUUCCACUUUCCUUUUAGUGAUGCAGAGCUUCAAUUCUUCAUGUGGCCUUUGGAAGCUGGCAGAAAUCCUUUAUUUCUUAGCAACCACCUGAACCCUUUUCAUUUUAUGGAGACCCUCACUGGGUGCUUAAUCUUAUCCUCCAUCCCUUUCAGAACUCCAGCAUCCUGGAUUGUUUUCUGAACCCACAUUACCACCAGUAUAAGCAGAAGUUUGGCGUAUCCUCCAUGAUCAGAAUAGCAGAACAUGUCUCCUGCAGAUAGGGCAGGAGUGGAGGAAGGAGCUUGCUUCUUGAGUCUUGCCAUUGCCAUAUUACUGUAUAAUUAGUUUGUAUGUGUCACUUAACCUUUAUUAUCCCCUCCCAUCAGGUUAUUUUUAUAAUCUGCAAGCUUUACACUGUUUUAACCAAAUGGAACCUCUCUCCAUUUGCAGCUGGGGCAUCCACAUCAUUUGAUAUGUGAUUGAAGGCAGCCACCUGCAUGCAUUUAGUUCUGUCCUUGUAAGCAUCCCAACUCAAUAGACGUACAAAGGAAGUGUCCAUCACAACGUAGUAUUCUGUAUGCUCAUUGCAGGCCCCUUUAUGAAAUCUUUUCAGAGCCUACAAUUCAUACAGUCCCAAGUCUGAGUUUUGGUGCAACUCUCAGCAGGUCUAGUAGAGGUUAUGCAAGACUGGUGAUUUUUUUGGGGGCUUAUCUUUUUCUGGCAGUUUCUUCAAACCUGUCUAGCCGUCAUUUAUGGCACCGUUUGGAUAUUUCAGUCCUCCUUUUCAGAUGUACUUUGAGGGCCUUCUUGAAAGCAGAUCCUAGGAAUCCUUGAACUAGACUGAUAACUAUUCCAGUAGGAGGAAAUGCAUUGUAACAUUUGUUUAUAAUAAGGGGUCUGUAAUCGGCAUACAAUGUUGCACACCCUCUCCCUACAUUUGCAUCAAGGUGCAGUAUUUUGCAUGAGUUUUAUAAAUUAAAAUUAUUGAUGCAGUUUUGAGAUUUCUUUGAGUCUUGCAUAAGGAAUCCUCUUUGACAUCCUGCAUUAAGUAUUUCAUUCGUAAAGAGUUGCAUUUUCCUCAUUUUUGCCUGUCAAUGUCAAUAGUACAGCACUCAGUAAAGUAUGAGUCGUGAAGUUGUUGAAAUUAAUAAAAAACUGCUGUUAUUGCUUUA